AAUUGGUGGAGGGUCUCUCUAGAGAUCUGGACUCUUGAUCUAUUACUACAAGCUUCAUGCAAAAUGGGUUGGGGGUGUCACAUUAAUGGACAUGGAUUAAACAGAAGAUCAUGUAGGUAUUUGCAAUGUGACUCCAAAUGUUGCCAUCAAUACCUACAUUGGGGUGUAACUUCCAAAAUGUCCAGUUGGCUGAGCAUAAUGAAGAGGCAGUACUGAAACUAUUUAAAGUCCAUACCGCCAAUUCAGGUCUCCAUAUCCAACAGAGUGUGGAUGUUUAAAAUUUUGUUGUCUCAUGUGAAAAAAACUGAAGACCAUGAACAGCCAGUACAUGAGGGUAGAGAUUUUUGCUUUCGAAACCUGCGAAUUGAAAAAUGUUUGGGAAGAGAGAAUCCAAAAGCAAACGGAAGAAAGAGAAAAUGAAACUGCCAGAAAACAACGCAGUGCUUUACAGAGGCUUCGCAACGAAUGGACAGAGAGGCUGAAUAAAAAAAUGGAAAUGCUGAAAAAUCAAAACAAUUCGUGAACAUCAUUUUUUUUCUCCAUAGACUAUGAAUUGCUGGAAGAGUCAGCCAAGUAAAACAUGAAUGAUUAGUUAAAUUCCAAUCAUAUAGAGUACUAUUUCCUUAUUACUCAACCUUGGAGAACCUUAGAGAAUGGGUGGAAAUAGGCUAAGAGUUUCAUUAUAUAACAUUGUGAUGUACAAUAAUACAGACAUUUUAUGUUUGUGGUUGCUGGUAUAAAAACAGAAUCUGGUAAAGUUGGGUGCAUUGUAAUUAUGAUGAAUAAAGUAUAAACAAUGUA